GACGAACGCUGGCGGCGUGCCUAAUACAUGCAAGUUGAGCGCUGAAGGUUGGUACUUGUACCAACUGGAUGAGCAGCGAACGGGUGAGUAACGCGUGGGGAAUCUGCCUUUGAGCGGGGGACAACAUUUGGAAACGAAUGCUAAUACCGCAUAAAAACUUUAAACACAAGUUUUAAGUUUGAAAGAUGCAAUUGCAUCACUCAAAGAUGAUCCCGCGUUGUAUUAGCUAGUUGGUGAGGUAAAGGCUCACCAAGGCGAUGAUACAUAGCCGACCUGAGAGGGUGAUCGGCCACAUUGGGACUGAGACACGGCCCAAACUCCUACGGGAGGCAGCAGUAGGGAAUCUUCGGCAAUGGACGAAAGUCUGACCGAGCAACGCCGCGUGAGUGAAGAAGGUUUUCGGAUCGUAAAACUCUGUUGGUAGAGAAGAACGUUGGUGAGAGUGGAAAGCUCAUCAAGUGACGGUAACUACCCAGAAAGGGACGGCUAACUACGUGCCAGCAGCCGCGGUAAUACGUAGGUCCCGAGCGUUGUCCGGAUUUAUUGGGCGUAAAGCGAGCGCAGGUGGUUUAUUAAGUCUGGUGUAAAAGGCAGUGGCUCAACCAUUGUAUGCAUUGGAAACUGGUAGACUUGAGUGCAGGAGAGGAGAGUGGAAUUC
rnacentral:rRNA from 1 species